rnacentral:rRNA from 1 species
UACGUAGGGGGCUAGCGUUGUCCGGAUUUAUUGGGCGUAAAGAGCGUGUAGGCGGCCAGGUAGGUCUGCUGUGGAAAAACUCGAGGCUCAACCUCGAGAACGUCGGCGGAAACCAUCUGGCUAGAGUCCGGAAGAGGAGAGUGGAAUUCCCUGGUGUAGCGGUGAAAUGCGCAGAUAUCAGGAAGAACACCGGUGGCGAAGGCGGCCUGCUGGGCAGUUGCUGACACUGAGGCGCGACAGCGUGGGGAGCAAACAGG